rnacentral:rRNA from 1 species
AUUUUUCCUGCCACCGAAUACAUUAGCAUGGGAUAAUGGAAUAGGACCCUGACCUCCUAUUUUCAGUUGGUUUUGUUUACAGCGAGGUUAUAUCAGGGUAAUGAUUAAUAGGGAUAGUUGGGGGCAUUAAUAUUUAAUUGUCAGAGGUGAAAUUCUUGGAUUUAUGAAAGAUUAACUUCUGCGAAAGCGUUUGCCAAGGAUGUUUUCAUUAAUCAAGAACGAAAGUUAGGGGAUCGAAGACGAUCAGAUACCGUCGUAGUCUUAACCAUAAACGAUGCCGACCAGCGAUUAGGAGACGUUGAAUACAAAACACCGCUGUUAAUCCUUUCGGGGGUUAAUAGUUGGUG